rnacentral:rRNA from 1 species
CAGCCGCCGCGGUAAUACGUAGGUCCCGAGCGUUGUCCGGAUUUAUUGGGCGUAAAGCGAGCGCAGGCGGUUAGAUAAGUCUGAAGUUAAAGGCUGUGGCUUAACCAUAGUACGCUUUGGAAACUGUUUAACUUGAGUGCAAGAGGGGAGAGUGGAACUCCAUGUGUAGCGGUGAAAUGCGUAGAUAUAUGGAGGAACACCGGUGGCGAAAGCGGCUCUCUGGUCUGUAACUGACGCUGAGGCUCGAAAGCGUGGGGAGCAAACAGGAUUAGAUACCCCUGUAGUCCCUGUCUCUUAUACC